UGGUGGAGCGAUUUGCUGGUUAAUUCCGAUAACGAACGAGACUCUGGCCUAUUAAAUAGUUCGCCGAUUCCGAUCUGUCGGCGUUAACUUCUUAGAGGGACAAGUGGCUUUUAGCCACGCGAGAUUGAGCAAUAACA
rnacentral:rRNA from 1 species